rnacentral:rRNA from 1 species
UACGUAGGGGGGCUAGCGUUGUCCGGAAUCAUUGGGCGUAAAGAGCGCGUAGGCGGCCAGAUAAGUCCGGUGUGAAAGUCACAGGCUCAACCUGUGAAUGCCGCUGGAAACUGUCUGGCUAGAGUACAGAAGGGGCAAUCGGAAUUCUUGGUGUAGCGGUGAAAUGCGUAGAUAUCAAGAGGAACACCUGAGGUGAAGACGGGUUGCUGGGCUGAUGACUGACGCUGAUGCGCGAAAGCUAGGGUAGCAAACGGG